GGAAUUCCAGAUCCGUAUGUCGCGCCACGUUACCAACGCAGUACUCAUCCCAACAUCCACCUCUUGAUCAUGAACAGGCAGUUGGUGAUGAAGGUUUGGGAAACUUGCAGCUGUCGCCAAUUGCAAGCUCGGAACUACGUAUUUGUCGUGCACGUGACAAUUGUAAUUCAUUAUCACAAUAUUUAAAUUCAAUUUGUGGUAACAGGUGAAAUAGAUUUCCAAGCUGCAGGGCUAGCGACAGCUGCAGGUAGCGUACCCACUUCCAAGCAACAGGUGCAUGCUUUUGAACAAUCAUGACAAUGGGCUGCCUCGUGGCGCUGGGACUUCUAGCUAAACGACAGAUUCUUUUUUGAUUGAAAUAAUUCAAAUUAUCGAUGGGAAGACGAUUCUACCUGGAAGCAGAAGAAGACAACUGCCAUCAAGGGCACUAAAUCAGGAAAACAUUAUAUGGAAUCAAGAAAACUGUCUAAUAAUUUAACUUGCGAUUUUGUAAUUUGUAUUAUAUCAUUUUGUAAUUAACAUAAUUAUUUUGAUAAUAAAGGAAAUUUGCAUAUCGGUG